rnacentral:rRNA from 1 species
CCUACGGGUGGCAGCAGUGGGGAAUAUUGGACAAUGGGCGAAAGCCUGAUCCAGCCAUGCCGCGUGAGUGAUGAAGGCCUUCGGGUUGUAAAGCUCUUUCACCCACGACGAUGAUGACGGUAGUGGGAGAAGAAGCCCCGGCUAACUUCGUGCCAGCAGCCGCGGUAAUACGAAGGGGGCAAGCGUUGUUCGGAAUGACUGGGCGUAAAGGGCGCGUAGGCGGCGCGUUGCGUCAGAUGUGAAAUCCCCGGGCUCAACCUGGGAAUGGCAUUUGAUACGGGCGUGCUGGAAUCCGUGAGAGGUUGGUGGAAUUCCCAGUGUAGAGGUGAAAUUCGUAGAUAUUGGGAAGAACACCAGUGGCGAAGGCGGCCAACUGGCACGGUAUUGACGCUGAGGCGCGAAAGCGUGGGGAGCAAACAGGAUUAGAUACCCGUGUAGUC